AGAGUUUGAUCCUGGCUCAGGACGAACGCUGGCGGCGUGCUUAACACAUGCAAGUCGAGCGAUGAAGCUUCCUUCGGGAAGUGGAUUAGCGGCGGACGGGUGAGUAACACGUGGGUAACCUGCCUCAAAGUGGGGGAUAGCCUUCCGAAAGGAAGAUUAAUACCGCAUAAUAUAAGAGAAUCGCAUGAUUUUCUUAUCAAAGAUUUAUUGCUUUGAGAUGGACCCGCGGCGCAUUAGCUAGUUGGUAAGGUAACGGCUUACCAAGGCAACGAUGCGUAGCCGACCUGAGAGGGUGAUCGGCCACAUUGGAACUGAGACACGGUCCAGACUCCUACGGGAGGCAGCAGUGGGGAAUAUUGCGCAAUGGGGGAAACCCUGACGCAGCAACGCCGCGUGGGUGAUGAAGGUCUUCGGAUUGUAAAGCCCUGUUUUCUAGGACGAUAAUGACGGUACUAGAGGAGGAAGCCACGGCUAACUACGUGCCAGCAGCCGCGGUAAUACGUAGGUGGCGAGCGUUGUCCGGAUUUACUGGGCGUAAAGGGUGCGUAGGCGGAUGUUUAAGUGGGAUGUGAAAUCCCCGGGCUUAACCUGGGGGCUGCAUUCCAAACUGGAUAUCUAGAGUGCAGGAGAGGAAAGCGGAAUUCCUAGUGUAGCGGUGAAAUGCGUAGAGAUUAGGAAGAACACCAGUGGCGAAGGCGGCUUUCUGGACUGUAACUGACGCUGAGGCACGAAAGCGUGGGUAGCAAACAGGAUUAGAUACCCUGGUAGUCCACGCCGUAAACGAUGGAUACUAGGUGUAGGGGGUAUCAACUCCCCCUGUGCCGCAGUUAACACAAUAAGUAUCCCGCCUGGGGAGUACGGUCGCAAGAUUAAAACUCAAAGGAAUUGACGGGGGCCCGCACAAGCAGCGGAGCAUGUGGUUUAAUUCGAAGCAACGCGAAGAACCUUACCUGGACUUGACAUCCCUUGCAUAGCCUAGAGAUAGGUGAAGCCCUUCGGGGCAAGGAGACAGGUGGUGCAUGGUUGUCGUCAGCUCGUGUCGUGAGAUGUUAGGUUAAGUCCUGCAACGAGCGCAACCCUUGUUAUUAGUUGCUACCAUUAAGUUGAGCACUCUAAUGAGACUGCCUGGGUAACCAGGAGGAAGGUGGGGAUGACGUCAAAUCAUCAUGCCCCUUAUGUCCAGGGCUACACACGUGCUACAAUGGUAGGUACAAUAAGACGCAAGACCGUGAGGUGGAGCAAAACUUAUAAAACCUAUCUCAGUUCGGAUUGUAGGCUGCAACUCGCCUACAUGAAGCUGGAGUUGCUAGUAAUCGCGAAUCAGAAUGUCGCGGUGAAUACGUUCCCGGGCCUUGUACACACCGCCCGUCACACCAUGAGAGCUGGUAACACCCGAAGUCCGUGAGGUAACCGUAAGGAACCAGCGGCCGAAGGUGGGAUUAGU
rnacentral:rRNA from 1 species